rnacentral:tRNA from 1 species
GAUAAACUUUUGAGGUCUUCUAAACGCUUAUUGACUUUGAGUCGUUUGUUUUUGUUUGUG